AUGCAACCAACCCAAGUGUACAUGCCACCUCCAACCCCUGAUUCGGGUCCUCUCCACCUCCUCGAGCUCCAUGUCGAAUCAACAGGAGUCGCCGCAAAAGUACUGUGGCGUGCGGCAACAGCCGUGGGGCUCUUGGGAGCCGGAGGUCCAAAUCCGGGCAUGCGGGAGAAGAAGUGGCUCAGCACAUUCACCACCACGGAGGAGGCGGGACGCGCGUACGAUGUGGUAGUAGUCCACUACUUCAGAAGUAAGGCGAAGCUUAACUUCCCCAUUGUCUCUCAUGAUGCAGACUUCAUCAUGUCCCCUUUUAUAGUGGCCUCCCAUGACGAGGAUAAGGAGCAUCACAAGGAUGAGAACCAGCUGGCAACCGAGCGCGCAGAUGCAGCCUACAUGGUCGAGCUCAUGACAAAGAACCUACGGCUCCUCGGGGAGAUCCAAACGUGGUUCGAGUCCAAGGAUAAUGACAACAUGUUCAUCGAGCUCUUUCUGAGCUAUCCGAUGAGGAGGAGAUGUCGUUGA
rnacentral:rRNA from 1 species